rnacentral:rRNA from 1 species
CCUACGGGUGGCAGCAGUGAGGAAUAUUGGUCAAUGGGCGCGAGCCUGAACCAGCCAAGUAGCGUGAAGGAUGACUGCCCUACGGGUUGUAAACUUCUUUUAUAAAAGAAUAAAGUGAGGCACGUGUGCCUUUUUGUAUUUACUUUAUUAAUAAAGAUCGGCUAACUCCGCUCCAGCAGCCGCGGUAAUACGGAGGAUACGAGCGUUAUCCGGAUUUAUUGGGUUUAAAGGGAGCGUAGAUGGGUUGGUAAGUCAGUUGUGAAGGCUUGGGGCUCAACCGGAAAAUUGCAAUUGAUACUGGCAGCCUUGAGUACAGUUGAGGUAGGCGGAAUUCGUGGUGUAGCGGUGAAAUGCUUAGAUAUCACGAAGAACUCCGAUUGCGAAGGCAGCUUACUAAACUGCCACUGACAUUGAUGCUCGAAAGUGUGGGUAUCAAACAGGAUUAGAUACCCCUGUAGUC